rnacentral:rRNA from 1 species
CUUGCUGAAUUAUUCACCCUUGUCUUUUGCGUACUUCUUGUUUCCUUGGUGGGUUCGCCCACCACUAGGACAAACAUAAACCUUUUGUAAUUGCAAUCAGCGUCAGUAACAAAUUAAUAAUUACAACUUUCAACAACGGAUCUCUUGGUUCUGGCAUCGAUGAAGAACGCAGCGAAAUGCGAUAAGUAGUGUGAAUUGCAGAAUUCAGUGAAUCAUCGAAUCUUUGAACGCACAUUGCGCCCUUUGGUAUUCCAAAGGGCAUGCCUGUUCGAGCGUCAUUUGUACCCUCAAGCUUUGCUUGGUGUUGGGCGUCUUGUCUCUAGCUUUGCUGGAGACUCGCCUUAAAGUAAUUGGCAGCCGGCCUACUGGUUUCGGAGCGCAGCACAAGUCGCACUCUCUAUCAGCAAAGGUCUAGCAUCCAUUAAGCCUUUUUUUCAACUUUUGACCUCGGAUCAGGUAGGGAUACCCGCUGAACUUAAGCAUAUCAAUAA